UCCUUCUUUUUCUAUCGUUGUUCGGAAUUACUGGGCGUAAAGCGCACGUAGGCGGCUUUGUAAGUUAGAGGUGAAAGCCCGGGGCUCAACUCCGGAAUUGCCUUUAAGACUGCAUCGCUAGAAUUGUGGAGAGGUAAGUGGAAUUCCGAGUGUAGAGGUGAAAUUCGUAGAUAUUCGGAAGAACACCAGUGGCGAAGGCGACUUACUGGACACAUAUUGACGCUGAGGUGCGAAAGCGUGGGGAGCAAACAGG
rnacentral:rRNA from 1 species